rnacentral:rRNA from 1 species
UACGUAGGGUGCGAGCGUUGUCCGGAAUUAUUGGGCGUAAAGGGCUCGUAGGCGGUUUGUCGCGUCGGGAGUGAAAACAUCGGGCUUAACUCGAUGCUUGCUUUCGAUACGGGCAGACUUGAGGUAUGCAGGGGAGAAUGGAAUUCCUGGUGUAGCGGUGAAAUGCGCAGAUAUCAGGAAGAACACCUAUGGCGAAGGCAGCUCUCUGGGACGGUACUGACGCUGAGACGCGAAAGCGUGGGGAGCGAACAGG